rnacentral:tRNA from 1 species
CCCGGCAGUAGGCGGCGAGGAAGUCGCGGCUGGUGCUGCCGGCCGGAUACAGGCCGCCGCGCCAGGCCGGCUCGUUCCACGACGGACAGCCGAGG